rnacentral:piRNA from 1 species
UNGGAAGCAGUUAGUUGGUGUUGGCCA